rnacentral:rRNA from 1 species
CACUCCUGCGGGAGGCAGCAGUGGGGAAUUUUGGACAAUGGGCGAAAGCCUGAUCCAGCAAUGCCGCGUGUGUGAAGAAGGCCUUCGGGUUGUAAAGCACUUUUGUCCGGAAAGAAAUCCUUGGCUCUAAUACAGUCGGGGGAUGACGGUACCGGAAGAAUAAGCACCGGCUAACUACGUGCCAGCAGCCGCGGUAAUACGUAGGGUGCGAGCGUUAAUCGGAAUUACUGGGCGUAAAGCGUGCGCAGGCGGUUUGCUAAGACCGAUGUGAAAUCCCCGGGCUCAACCUGGGAACUGCAUUGGUGACUGGCAGGCUAGAGUAUGGCAGAAGUGGGUAGAAUUCCACGUGUAGCAGUGAAAUGCGUAGAGAUGUGGAGGAAUACCGAUGGCGAAGGCAGCCCCCUGGGCCAAUACUGACGCUCAUGCACGAAAGCGUGGGGAGCAAACAGGAUUAGAAACCCGAGUAGUCCCAUGAU